GACGAACGCUGGCGGCGUGCUUAACACAUGCAAGUCGAGCGGAGGGGAGGACGGGUGGGUAACGCGUGAGUAACUGGCCCCCUCCCGGGGGUAACAGUUGGAAACUGGUGCUAAUACCGGAUAGUGGGGGAUGAAUCGCGGCCUAUCAGCUUGUUGGUGGGGUAGUGGAAUACCAAGGCGAGGAGGGGUAGCCGGCCUGGGAGGGCGACCGGCCACCUUGGGCUGCGAGAGGGCCCAAUCUCGUACGGGAGGCAGCAGUGGGGAAUAUUGCACAAUCGGGGAAACCGUGAUGCAGCAACGCCGGGUGCGGGAUGACGGCCCUCGGGUUGGAAACCGCGUUCAGCUAUGACGCGGUAGUGGCAGAAGAAGCACCGGCUAACUACGUGCCAGCAGCCGCGGUAAUUC
rnacentral:rRNA from 1 species